UCCGAGUUGACCCCGGCAGUCUCCCACGAGUCCCCGCCAUUACGCGCUGGCAACAUAGGAUAAGGGUUGCGCUCGUUGCGGGACUUAACCCAACAUCUCACGACACGAGCUGACGACAACCAUGCACCACCUGUGCACGACCCUUUAAAGGACCCCACAUCUCUGCGGGAUUUCCGUGCAUGUCAAGCCUAGGUAAGGUUCUUCGCGUUGCAUCGAAUUAAGCAACAUGCUCCGCCGCUUGUGCGGGCCCCCGUCAAUUCCUUUGAGUUUUAGCCUUGCGGCCGUAGUCCCCAGGCGGGGUGCUUACUGCGUUGGCGACGGCACCGGGGGGGUCGAUACCCCCGACACCUAGCACCCAUCGUUUACGGCGUGGACUAC
rnacentral:misc_RNA from 1 species